GCAAGGCUGGUCAAGGUCAUCAAGCAGUGAGGCUCAACACAACUACCAUUCGUGUAUCUCCUUGCAGUUGGAAAGAUUGCAACUUAUGGUACAGACCUAACACACCCUCUCCAUCACAAAUUUCAGCUGCUACCUUCUAGCAGGCACAACCAAGUACUACUUGCAAGAAGGCAUUCCUGAGGCCCUUCAUACCAGAAGCCAUUAUAAUCUUCAAUAAGAGGCCAAUAGGUACAGUAAAUCUCCUUAUUAAGACCAUCCCUAUUACAACUAAGACAGACAGCCUUGUAAACAGAUGCCACAUGCAGAGAAAAAGCCAUGUGCCUGAGAUAAGAGCUGAACCCAGGACAGCCAACCGUCUCUGUAUUGGUGACAGGCGCUAACCACUGUGCAGUGGAUCGCCCUUUGUUCAUUGGGUCACUUGUCCAUGCGACCCAAACCAUACUGCUCCAAUCAUAUCUACCACCUGCCUGAGUUGAAUCAACCCCAAAAUGAUCAGAUCUUCCCAAACCAAAACUCAAAUCGAUCCAGGACCAAAGAUAAAUUGAUCUCAGAUGACAGGAACAGCUAUAAAUAUCAAAUAUUACCAACAUCAAUAUCCUGUCAGCUGAGUUACAAACUGAUUUUAGGAAUAGGAAGGUUUUAUUGUAUUUACAGAAAAUACUUCACUACAUUAAACAAAAGGUACAAAAAAUAA